rnacentral:piRNA from 1 species
UGUCAAGAUUGGGUUGCAUGUGGGAUAUG